AUUGAACGCUGGCGGCAUGCUUUACACAUGCAAGUCGAACGGUAACAGGCCUUCGGGCGCUGACGAGUGGCGAACGGGUGAGUAAUGCAUCGGAACGUGCCCAGUCGUGGGGGAUAACGCAGCGAAAGCUGUGCUAAUACCGCAUACGAUCUGCGGAUGAAAGCGGGGGACCUUCGGGCCCCGCGCGAUUGGAGCGGCCGAUGUCAGAUUAGGUAGUUGGUGGGGUAAAGGCUCACCAAGCCAACGAUCUGUGGCUGGUCUGAGAGGAUGGUCAGCCACACUGGGACUGAGAUACGGCCCAGGCUCCUACGGGGGGCAGCAGUCUAGAGGCUUCGGCAAUGGGGGCAACCCUGACCGAGCGACGCCGCGUGUGGGAUUGAAGGCCUUCGGGUCGUAAACCACUGUCAAGAGGGAAGAAUGCCCGUAUGGUGAAUACGGGAGGGACGGUACCUCUGGAGGAAGCCCCGGCUAACUCCGUGCCAGCCGCUGCGGUAACAC
rnacentral:rRNA from 1 species